UACGUAGGGUGCGAGCGUUGUCCGGAAUUAUUGGGCGUAAAGAGCUUGUAGGCGGUCUGUCGCGUCUGUUGUGAAAAUCCGGGGCUCAACCCCGGACUUGCAGUGGGUACGGGCAGACUAGAGUGUGGUAGGGGAGACUGGAAUUCCUGGUGUAGCGGUGGAAUGCGCAGAUAUCAGGAGGAACACCUAUGGCGAAGGCAGAUCUCUGGGCCGUAACUGACGCUGAGGAGCGAAAGCGUGGGGAGCGAACAGG
rnacentral:rRNA from 1 species